CUUCUGCUGCCUAAGGUUGAUGACGAUAGUGAUGUCUAUCAGGAUCUUGACGAUGUUUCAUGAAGGUCUUCACAAAACUUCUUGCAAAUUCUCUCUUCUGUUUAAUUUUGAUGGUAUCCUUGACAGCCUAUCACCAGGCUAACGUUGUGUCAUGGAUGUCGUUAGCCACACUUAGCUCUUCAUUUGCUUCCAAUUUCAUACUUUUUGCUUCCUUUCUUUGUCGUUCUCUUUUGUCUCUAAUUUUACUAUAAAACCAAAGUAAACUAAUCAAAAACGACUAAAGUUCCUCAAGACUUUGCAAUUAUUUAGAGUUAAAAGCUUCAAAUAUGUUAGCAUGGGCUCACACAUCAAUAGCUAACUGUGAAGGUGUGAUUCCAAUAAAUGGACAUGAGAAAAUCAUAUUUGUCAACAUAAAAAUUGGUCAUGGAGAUCAUAUAUGAUACUUAUGGGUUACAUAGGAAUCCUCUAAGUUACACUUGUAUAUAUAUCAUGGAGAGCGAAGGGUACACCUGAAUCCUCUACUCCUAUGGUAUCUUUGGUUUUUGGAAAUUCACAUAUCAGGGCCUAUUUUAGGGGUAACACUAGACCCGUAUAUCGUAUGGGUGGUUCUAGGAUGAUUAAGCUAUAUAUAUCCAAGUUAAAAGAUUUUAAGGCAUGUCAUUCCCGAUUACCUUCCUAAUAUGGAUAUAUAUAUAUAUGUGUAUAUGUUUUGUUAUGAAUGAAUAUUGUUAUUUACUUUGUUUUAAAGGUUAGUAUUAUUUUAUUCUUAUCCUGAGUGCAUGUUAGCAUUCACUCACUAAACCGUCUUAGGGCAAUAUAUCCCUACAUGACGUAAGAACCAACCAUUUUACUCUACCUACUCAGUGAUUUGAUUUGUGAUCUAUUAUUUGAUUAAUGCUGUGAUAUUACAUAUCCUAAAGUCUCCAUUUCAUAUUAUGAAUUUCUUUAUAUACUCUGGUUUUUUGAUAACAUUAGGUUUGACUAUGGUUUGGGGUAUGCUCAAACUGAAUAUUAUUUUACUUUCUAUUAGAGUCUUUGUUGAACUACUAUGGGUUGGUAUAGGUAGUGUCGGUAUUGGUAUAAGUCUUAGUAUUUACAUUGGUAUUGUGGAUGACACCAUCCGACUGUAUUUAUAAUUAUUCUAUCCAAUUAUGUUAUGAAUUCGUACAUGAUUAUUAUUUUUAUUUUGGUAUAGUUAUUAGUUGGGUAUUGGAUGGUUGGACUUAAUUGGGUUAGUCAUGGAUAUGGACCUAUAGUAGAGUCUAGAGAUGUACAUUAUGCUAUCAUUUUAUAUAUUCAAAAUUCAACUGACUUAGGCCAUGUGUUUUGAAGAUGGGUUGGGUAAUGGGGGAGGUCUCCAGUUUUUGUAUGACGGGAUACCCAUUACUACAAGGCUCUAGUUUGAUUCAUAUCAAGUUGGUAUAAGAUCUUUAGGUGCAUGGUAAAUUAGGAGUCCACAAAGCCAUAUCUAGAAGAAUCUCAUUUAAGGGUGUGUAGUGCAUCACACUUUUUAGGGAGAGGCUACAAGGAAUUUAGGAAAUAUUUAUUUUCUUUUUGUUUUAUUUUUUAGCUUGGAAUCCAAGCCCUGGAAUCUUCUAUAAUCCCUAUUUGUUCUCUUUUCAGUUCAUGCUUCAAUGAUCUAAUACACAUAGAAACUCUUUUGUCCUAACUGGUAUAAUGUUAAUGCGACACGCUGUGCUUAUGGGAUCCAUACAUAGUCUAGGGGACUGGUCCAUAAUUUCUUUCGAGUUUUAUUGGUUUCUUUUAGUCCUCCCCAGGCUGAUAUGGCCAAUGCUUAGUUUCAUCAAUCGAUUCAUAUGAUUGCUUAAUUAGUAGCUUCCAUGCCUAAUGUGGUGCAUUUGUUACUCUAUAUUCUGAGGCCACAAGGGUCAGCUAGUUUAUGAGGUUGAGCUCUCCAACUUUUAUUGGUAUUAAGAUAGAGAAGCAUCCUCUGGGUUUUUUGGAUGAGAUGGAAAAGAUUUUAAGGAUUAUGCAUACCAAAAAUGUGGAAGGGGUGGAGUUUGUUAUCUACUAACUGAAAGAUAUGGCAUACCAAUGGAAUGAGAAAUGGGAAGUGCAAGGGGUGAUGUUUAGCCGUAAUCUUUAUCGGAGACUUUAUCAAAUGCAUUUUUGCACUACUUCUUUACUCAAGAGUUAAGGGAAGCAAAGGCGGAGGAAUUUGAUAAUCUAAAAUAGGGGAAGAUAUCAUUCAAGGAGUAUGCCUUUAAACUUUUACCAGUUGUCUAGGUAUGAAUAUGAAUUGGUGUCUGAUUUGAGAGCUAAAAUGAGAAAGUUUUCUUCAAGAAUAUCUUGUGAGUUGAUCCUUAAACUCAAGACAGUAUUGCUUAUUAAGGACAUGGGUAUUUCUAGGUUGGUUGUUCAUAUGCAACAAGUGGAGGAGGAAAAAAGAAAUAGGGUUAAGUUAGGGGAAAGGUAGGGUAAGAAGUUUAGGUUCUCUGAGUAGGGUGGAUAAUUAAAAAAUAACAGAAAUGGGGGUAAGUGUCCAAAGAAGAAGUUGGGGAGUUUUGUUUUUUUCUACAAAGCUAGUGCUUCCUACCCAAUACCGACGGGUGAUAGGAGGUAGUAUUGUAUCGAUAACAUUAGGGCACAGGGUGCCCAAUCUAAUGCUAGUGGGGGUUAGUCGGCUAAAUCAUUUCCUCAUUAUUGGUAUUGUAGUCAACUACAUCAGGGUUUUUAGGAUAAGAGGAAGGCCAGGUGUUCUAAAUUUGGCCUGCCAGGCCAUAUUCUUAGAAACUAUUUGUUCGCAAGGUUUCUUUAGGGGCGAACAAGGUUAUGGUUACCUCUUUAUCUAAUCCUUCACCCAGGGGUGCUACAUCUAUAUCUGUUUUUGCUUCUGUUACCAGCAGAGGCCCAAAUUGAUUAUACGCACUCACUACCUGAUGAGAGUCUGAGGCAUCACCUGAUGCUUGGACCAGUACAUUGAAACUCUUUUCUCAGGAUUUAUAUUAUUUAUUUGUUCAGAGUUUUUAUCUUUAUUAUGUGAACCCAUUAGUGGCUGUGUAUUUUGGUUACUGUCCUGAGGUUAUUUCAAAACUUUUUUAUGUUUCUACCAUGGUAGGUGACUCUAUGGUUAUUAAAAGAGUCUAUUGGGCGUAUAUGGUAUUAGUUGGUAGUAAGGAGGGUUUAGUGGAUUUGUAUGAAUUAGAUAUGGUGGAUAUUAAUAUUAUUAUGGGUAUGGAUUGGUUACACUUUUCCAAUAUAUCCCCAGACUGUCAGACAUAUAAGGUUGUCUUUAGGUCUUUUGGUGAGCUAGUUAUUAAAUAGGAGGGGGGUUCCAUAGCCCCUAAGGUGAAGUUUAUAUCAUAUCUUAGAGCUUUUAGAUUAAUCUAUAAAGGUUGUCUCUAUUCUUUAGUUUGUGUUAAUGAUUCUUACUCAUAAGGUCCUUCUUUACAUUCAGUUCUUGUGGUAAAUGAGUUUCCUGGGGUCUUUUCUGAGGACCUUCCUAGUGUUUCUCUAGAUUGGGAGAUCAAAUUUGGGAUUCAUUUGGUUUUGGACACUCAUCAAAUAUCUAUUCCUCCUAAUAGAAUAGAUUCAACUGAGUUGUGGGAACUAAAGGAGCAACUUAAGGAUCUCUUGGAUGAGGGUUUUAUCUAUCCUAAUGUGUCUCCAUGGGGUGCACAGAUGUUAAUCAUACUUAAGAAGGAUGGUUCCCUCCAAAUAUGUAUAGGCUAUCAUCAUUUGAAUAAGGUGACGAUUAAGAACAAAUAUCCUCUUCAAAAUAUAGAUAACUUGUUUGAUUGCUUGCAAGGUGCCAAAUUCUUUUCAAAGAUAGACAUUUUGUCAAGUAUCAAAAGCUUAAGAUUGGGUAGAGGGAUAUCCCUAAGACAUUUUUCCGUACUCGCUAUGGGAACUUUUAGUUCUUGGUUAUGUCAUUGGAUUUGUCCAAUGCCCCGAUGACAUUUAUAGAUUUGAUAAGAAGGGUCUUUCGUCAGUUUUUGAAUCUUUUUGUCAUUAUUUUUAUUGAUUACAUUCUACUGUACUAUAUGAAUGGGGUGGAUAAUGCCAAUCACCUUUCUUUUGUAUUGUAGACCAUGAAACAGGAGUAGUUGUAUGCAAAAUUCUUGAAAUGUGAGUUCUAGUUAAACGUUUUCACUUCUCUAGGUCAUAUUAUUUAAAGAACAAGGAUCAUUGUAGAUCCAUAAAAGGUCAUGGUUGUUAAGAAGUUUCCUAUGCCCACAACUCCAAUAAAUAUUUGGAGCUUCAUGGGUAUGGCAGGGUGUUGUAGGAGGUUUAUGCAAUGUUUCUCGAGGAUAGCUUCCCCAUUGACUAAGUUGAACAGAAGAAGGUAAAGUUCUCUUGUUCGAAUUUUGUGAGGGUAAUUUCAAGAAGCUGAAGGAUAAGCUAACUUCAACUCUAAUUUUUACCUUUCCUAAAGGUACUGAGAGGUUUAUGGUUUAUUGUGAUACAUCUCGGUAGGGGUUUAUUUGUUUUUUAUGCAGCAUGGGAAGGUGAUAGCCUAUGCUUCUAGGUAGUUGAAAUUACACGAGAAGAAAUAUCCUACUCAUGACUUGGAGAAGUUAGUCAUGGUGUUUGUAUUGAAAAUCUGGCAAAAUUAUCUAUAUGGAGUGCGCAUGGUAUCUUUUUGGAUCAUAAAAGCCUACAGUACGUGUUUACAUACAAAAAAUUGAAUAUCAGGCGAAAGAGUUUGAUUGAGCUUCUCAAGGACUAUUACAUAAGGCUUCACUACCAUCAAUGUAAGGUUAAUAUUGUUUUAGGUUCUCUUAGUAAAUUAUCCAUGGGGAGGUUAGCUCAUGAGGAUAAAAAGAGGCUGAAGUUGGUGAAAGAUAUUCACCACAUGGCUAAUCAUUGAGUUUUCCAUUUGUACUUUGAGAAUGGUGGUGUGUUAGAUAGGAAUUGGUUCAUUUGUAUCUUGGUAUAGAUAUCAAGAAGAAGCAAGUGCUAGUCUUGUCUUGAUGAAAAUUAAGGGUGAUAAAGGUCUGCAAAAGGUAAUGGUAUUUGAGAUCAGUAGUGAUGGUACCUUGCGGUACCAAGGGAGGUUGUAUUUCCUAACGUCGAUAGUUUGUUAGAAAGGAUAUUAUCCGAGGUGCGUGAGUCGUGCUAUGUUGUUCAUCCUAAUUUUGUGAAAAUGCAUCAUGACCUGAAGUAGAUGCAUUGGUGGAAUGAUCUGAAAAUGGAUGUGGCUAAUUUUGUGGUCAAUUGUUUAGUGUGCUAAGUAUUUUGUUGCCCGACGGAUUAUGAUCAACAGGGAUAUUGUUAUCGGUACUCCUCGAUAUAAAAAUGUAGAUAAGAUGACAAAGUUAGGAAAUUAUUUUCGAGUGAGGACUAACUUUUCGAGAGAGAAUUGUGUGAGGUUGUAUCUUCAUGAGAUUAAGAAACUACAUGAGGUACCUAUUUCAAUCUUUUCUAAUCAUGGUAUGCAUUGUUUAUUUUGUUUUUUGUAGUUAUUUUAGGAAGGAUUGGGGACUAAGGUUAGCCUAAGUACUGUUUUUCACCCACAGAUAGAUAGGCAAGUAGAGAGAACUAUUCAGACAUUAGAAGAUAUGUCUCUUGCAUGUGUAAUUAACUAUGGUGGUUGUUAGGUUAGGCAUCUACCUAUUGUAGAGUUUUCUUACAAUAAUAGUUAUCAUUAUAGCAUUCGGAUAGCCUCUUUUGAUACGUUUUAUGGUAGGAGGUUUCUUUUUUCUAUUGUGUUGUUUCAGCUUGGUGAGGAAAAUAUGUUUGGCUGAGAUUUUAUUUUUUAGUCUAUGGAGAAGGUGAAGGUGAUUCGAGAUAUGCUUAAAACUUCCUAAAGUAUCCAAAUGUCCUAUACAGAUGUAAGAAGUAGGGACUUGGAUUUUGAGUUUGGGGAUAGGGUAUUCCAAAGGUGUCUCUCAUGAAGGGAGUAAAGCAGUUCGGGAAGAAAAGGAAGCUCAGUCCCCUAUAUGAUUGUCUUUAUAUAGUUUUGAGAAAGGUUGGUAAUAUGGAGUAUGAAAUUGAGUUUCCUUAUAGCUUGAGCUCCAUUACCCUAGUGUUCCAUGUCUCUAUAUUGAGAAAGUGUAUGGGAAAUCCUUCAUCGGUUGUUCCAUUGUAAGGAUUUUGUAUCUCGGAUUCUCUAUCCUAUGAAGAGAUCCCAGUGGAGAUCUUUGGACCAAUAUGUUCGUUGGUUGCGAACCAAGGAUAAAGCUUUGCUCCAGAUUCUUUGGCAAAUUUACAUAGUGGAUGAAGCUACUUGGGAAACGAAAGAGGAUUUGAAGUCAAAGUAUCCAUACUUUUUUUCAUCUCUAGAUAUUCUUGAUUAAGGUAUGUGUUCUUGAUAACAUCUUUGUUUUCUAACUUUGUUAAAGAAACGGUUGAUUUCCUUGUAUCUUUGUUUUCUAACUUAGUUAAAGGUCAAAAUAAUAGUGCUUAGGUAUAACUCAUGCUUGUACUAUCUUUUGCUUUAUUUGGUGAUGAAUGAUCCUAGUAUGGGAGACUAAAACAACCUGUGUUUUGACAUUAAGGAAAUUCAUCAAUUUUUGUCUUUUGUACAUUAUACGAUAUGGGGUACUUCUUGCGUAAUGAGGUUUGGGUAGGUUAGUCUUGGUCGUAUGGUAACUAGUGUGGGUUGGAUGGUAUCUGUCAAAGGUACAGUUCGAACAUACAAGUUGCGUAUUAGGGUACAAAUGGUAAGGUGUCAAUCGUAUUUUCCCUAAGUCUAGUCUAGAAGAUUCUAUUAAGCCUAGUGUACAAUUUCAUGGUAUUAAUCAUAUGGUUUGGUACUGUUUACCUUGGGUAGUCGUACAUUUGAUAGUGUUGGGUUCCAAGGUGAGGCCUAGGUUACGAGAUAAGGGUACCACCCAUACACUAUGGUACGGUUGGGGCAGUUCAUUCAUACCAUCCUACGUGAAUUUUAAAUAGUUUAAGUUAGGGGUAGUUUGGACAUUCCCCCCAUAACUUAUUAUGAUCCCAGGAUAUAAAAUACCUUUUUGGUUCUUCAUUAACCUAUUUGCAAUCAAUCAAACUCUCUUAAACACUCUUAAAUUCUCUCAAGGCUCUUGGGUCAAAGAUGGCUAGGGUUUUAUCAAUAGGAUUAAGUUGGGGUGACAAGGCUAAUUUUUCUCUAUAAUUUUUGAAAUCUAAGGCAUGUAAUACUCCCUCAUAGUUAAUUCAUACUAUAGGCAUGUUUUGUGAAUUGUUUUGAUGGCAUAAAUGUUGUAUGAUUUUGGUUUUCAAAUAUAUCAGGGGUUUUGUUAUAAUGGUUGGUUAUUGUUUUUCCAUGUCUUUUACUUUUGAUUUCCAUGUUAUUUUAGUGAUUUGUGCAUUUGGUUUCACGAGAAUGGUUAAUCGGUACUUUGUUUUGGCUAUGGAAUUACUAUGUAACCCACUUGUUUGAUAAAAUACCUAUAAGAAUGUUUUUGGUUAAAUUGUUAGACAUUCAUUAAACUAUGCAUUGUAUAACUUAUAGGGUUUUAAUAGUCUGGUCUUUAAGGGCUCCAAGUUGGUUUCUUCUCAAAAUUUCUUAGGGAUUAAGGCUUGUAUCUCUCUCCCAAAACAUGUUUUUUAAAUUAUGGCAUAAAUUUCUUUUAUAUUCCUGUGAUUUUGGAUGUGGUUUUUGAAUGAUGGGUUGAGGGUUAGGAAAAAUCAUUGUAAAUGUUUUCCCAUGUAUUUUAAAGAAUAAUAAUGCUUUGAAUUGAUGAUUUUUAAACCCAUUAUGGUCAUGGGUAUGGUAAUGGAAUGGGUAUUGUCGAUACCCCCAAAUAAUUGGUUUUUGUUAGUAAAAAUGAUGAGAACAUCAACGCACUUGCAUGAUUGGUUUUGGAAUAAAAAUUAUCAUUUGGCUUUCCCUAGUAGUUUUAACUAAUCUGUUGCAUAUGUGUUUAAGAUGGAUUUUGAAUGUUCUUGGCAAUCAUGAAAUGGUUUUGAAUUAAAACUUUGGAGUCUUAUUGUCUAAUGGGUUGGUGUCCCAUUUGGCUGUAUGAUUUUGUUCCUAAUUGGGAUUUAGGAUUUCUAUUAAUUGAAGAGGGUUAGAAUACUACUUGGAUAAAUGAUUUGAUCCCUACUAGGGAAUUUGGAGUCCUAUUAUUUAAUGACUUAGAUUCCCCUUGGUAAAUUUUUGGAUUUUUCAAAUUGACAUGUGCUUGCAAGUUAUAGUCGAUAUGAUGAUACCACUUGAUGUUGCUGUAACAAAUGACUCCUUGAUUAAAUGCAUGGAUUAUAAGCUAAAUGCUUAUAAUUGGUCUUAAAGGGGGUUGUGUAGUUCGUCGUGAAAGUGGAGGUACCAAGAGGAUUAAUACUGGAAAACAUAUAUUUAUUAUGGUGGUGGUCUAAAUUAAUCGGUGUUCGAGCCACCCUUGGUUUUCAUCGGGUGUUCAUGACACCCUUAAUGUAUUAAUGGGGAGGUUUGAGUCACUUGUUCAUAUAUUGUAUGAUUAUUCUCCAGUUCGUAUGACUACACGUACUGGGGCUCAACUAGGGGGUUAGAGUUAGGGCCCAUAUAGACCGUGGGUACAAUUCUAAUAGAUUGCUACACAACCCAGGGUAAUGUUUUAAAGUUCAUUCUAAGAUAUGUUCCCUAUCCCAACAUGUUAUAUAUAUAUGUGCAUACGACUGUGUCCAGCGGUAUUGAAUUAUUUGAACGAUCGAUCAUGGCAGUAUGUAUCCCCUUAUCUUUGAGUUACAUUCAAGUUCUCAACCCGCUAACUAUCUUUGAACGUUUUAUCCCCACACAAUGCAUGGAACGGAGAUACUUCAAAUUUUCUGUACAACUACAGGUGGUUCUUGGAUUGUUAUGAGUUAUCUUGAAGUGAUGAACCUUAUUCUUCUUGAUGGCAUGUUACAUCAUGGUAAAGUUUUUGUCAUAGUCUAUUUCUUUGGUUACCCUUUUGGCUAUCAUCGAGGGCAUGUCCCGACUUAGAAUGAUUUUGGUUUGUUUAGAGGAUUUGUGGAUUAGUAUGGAUUGGGAGUUGGUAUUAUGGAUUUUUAGCACAUUCCGAUUGUUGCUUAUUCUAUCUUGUUUUAUGUUUGGAAUUCUUCUGCUGCUAGUUAUAUUAUAUUUUGUUUGACUAGGGAAAGAGGGUGGGCUCCAUUCCACGGCAUACUUGAUAUACCCGUCAUGGCCAGGCCCUUGUUCGGUCAUGACAUGACUGAGCUCCUAAGAUAAUGCUAAUAUAAGUAGCAUGCAAGAAAGAAUGUAACUACACCCAAAUAUCUAGCAACUACACAAUAAAGAUAAGGAGACUAUAAGGGAAAACUAUCUUAUUCUAUCUAUACUUAGUAACUUAAACACCAUACCAAUAUCACUGAACAAUAUAUGAAUAAAGAGUGGAAGAAUGAUAGAUAAUAGUAUAAAAGGCCAAGGAAUGGAUAUGCAAUAUGAAUAAGUGAAAUAAGGGAGGGAUAUAUAGUAAUACCGUAAGUAUUAUAGACAGAUACAUAUACAUAAACAAGUCUAACUGAAGGUACAACUUAAGUUAUCGCACUAGCAUCCCAAGGUCUUCUAAUCUUAGUAGAAACUAGUGAUAACAUGAUCAGGGUAUCGAAUCCAUAUGUCUAAACAUGAGAUAAUUAUCCAUCCUAAAGAAAACAUAAAAAAAGGGAUUGAAAUCAUACCUUAUAUAUCAAAAUUAACCGAACAACCAACCUGUCCUGAACUAACUAUAAUAAUAACACAUUACAGAAACCAGUCAGCUAAGACAAAUAAUACCUACUUCGGUCUUUAAAGUUCAAUUUUCCUUUUAGCCUCAAACUUAUAAAUUAGGCUAAGUCAUGAUGGUCUACUCAAUAUCACAUCCUAACAUCCCUAUCUAAUACGAAACUUAUAUAAUAUACCAUCACAUGAAGAAGAGUAGAUAGAAGCUUACAUCGAUGUCGAACCUCAAUCCUUGAAUUACCUAUAAAUUGUCCUUCUUUUCUCCAUGACCUCAAAAUAUCAUCACACUCUCAAUACAGUUAUCUACGCAUCAUUAGGAGAAAAUAAUACCUGUAUAUCUAUGUCCAACACAAAUCUAAAAACAAACACUAAAAAUGGAUUUAAAAAUAAAAAGGUUAAAAUCUUUUUUAUUUUAAAGAAAUAUGUUUCCCAUACUCAUAGGAGUCUAUAACUUAAAACCUAAGCCAAAAUGAAAUAAAAAUAAGAUCCAAAUUAAGGAAAAACCAUUUUCUAUCUUAUUGAUGAAAACCUCCAAAACCCACUUUGAAAAUCAAAUCAAGGUAAAAAUGAUAGUUAUAAGAUUAAGAAACUUCCUCAUGGAUGAAAUCUCAAAUAUGCUUUUGUAAUCCCACAAAUACGAGCUCCCAAGACCCAAAAUUAGUGAAAAAUCAAUUUUGAUUCUCAAUUUGGGUGAAAAUGAAAAAUUAUAAAUUGAUGUUCUUGGGAAAUGGGGAAAAUAGAAUUCUAUAAUUGCUAGACAAUGAUUUUACGUGAAAAAUAAAUCAUAAAUCGUAAAAAAUUGAGCUUCCUAGCUCCCAAAAUGUCAAAAAUAUGCUGGUCACUUAAGCGAUCUGGUCAAAUGGUCAAAUGUCACUUAAUUGGCCAAAUGGUUGGUCAAGUGACUUAUUCAAAUGGGCAAAUGGUUGUUUUCGCAAACAAACCGGCACCAACAAAGUUAAGAACUUGUUUUUGGCCAUCGGACCUCAUCCAAAAACCUAUGAACAUGAAACAGUAGCAAAAUUUGAAUUUAAAACACAUUAUAGAUACAACGGAAGAAUCAAAACAUUAAUCGAAAAUAGUUUUUACUAAAUUUGUGACCCAUAUCUAUAGUGCCAUUUUUCAUAUAAUUCACUCAAUUCCCUAAAACGAGUCUGAAAGCCUCAGGACCUGAACCGAGGGUCCCCAGCCUAAAAUUUAUUUUUUGAAGCUAAUGUCAUUGUUUGUAUUCUCUUCCAAGGUCAUAUACUACGUGUUUUGGUCCGACAUCAAAUCUGAAAUACUGAAAGCUACAAAAUAGAGAAAUGAGACUAAAAUAAAAACAAACUGUACUAUAACUAAAUCGAUAGUUCCGGCAAGUAAUAAUGAAAUGUAGCCACCGUGGGAUGUCUAGAAACGCUGAAAAUACACACAAAUUGAGGAAAUUACCAAGAGAGUCAUUAAAAUAAUCCUUACAAAGGAUUCUUUCACCCUUUAACAAUGAUAGGUAGUCUAUCUGCAUUUUAGCCAACUUGCUACGGAAGAUAACCAAUUUGUUUUCCUUCUUUGAAAUCACAAAUUAGCUAUCACCAUCUCAAAGGCUUUAGAAUGGUCCAGGAGAAAGGUUUCAUCACUAUUUCUAUCAACUAAAAUAAUAACUCCAUGAACCCCAUCAAAUACUCUAAAAUUUUCUCCAAUUUGGCAAUUUGAAUCCUUACUAAAGAAAAUCUUCUCGGUGUUUGGUAUUUCUCGCACCACCUCAUUCAAACUUUCCCAACAUAUCUUCUGGACCUCCUUGUCCAAGAAUAGUUGUGAAGCAUAUAAACUAAUAAUAUUAAAAGUAUCUCCUCAAUUAACUUUCUUAAUCUUCAUCAUCCAGUGAUUAAUCCUUUGAACCUCCAACCAAAGCUCCCUAAGGACUUUCUACCCCGUUCCUAUUCUUUGAACUUCCUGAGCACCAUAAAUUAAACCCAUAUACAUCUCAAGGCUUGGAACUUAACAAUUCGGUCUUGUGGACACACAAUAAAUUUAUCUUCUACUUUUUAAAAAUAUUUACUUCAAGACCCUAUAUUCUAUGACCCGACUCACAACUUAAUGAAAUCUUUAAUCUUCCUCUCACUCCCACCCAUCGCUCUCGACCUUGACCUAAAAAUGACCUUAGACUAUCAUUUUGAACCAAAAAAUUCAGUUCAAAGCUACAAAAAUACUAAUGCAAGUCAAACUAGGCUAUGACUAAAAACAAGAAAUAACCCUAACAUUAAAGUACAAAACCCGAAAAGCAAAAAGCUAGAAACAAGAAUUUAAUCACUAGUAGCAAAGAAUAUUCAAGAACCAAGUAUGACUAAAGAAAGUAAUAGUAACACGAACAACAAACAAAGCCAAAAAGAAUAUAGAUGUAAAAUAUCAGCACAGGUAAAUCAAUAACGAGAAGUACAACGCCACCAUGGUAGAUUUCAUGAUUUUAAGAUGGAAAAAAGAUAGAUUAAAGCAUGAAAUAUGAAUGAAAAGUGAUAUACAAUAAAAAAUAUGGACAUGAAAGGCAUUGGAAAAUAUAAACGAAACUCAAGAAAGAAAGGAUUAACAAAACAUGGUUAGAAAACUGUAGUAGAUGUCGAAAUUGGCCAUUGGGGUUAUCCCUGAAGGCUGCUAGAAUGUCUGGAUCUAGAAGUACUGUACGUAGUAAAUCUUAAAGCAAAAGACCUACUUCUUGGUCACUGUAGAAGAAAGGCAUCGGCAUCACAUAAAUUUGCAGCUCGAAGAUGGUAAAGGCGCUAUAUCGUGGGCAAGAAUUGGAUGGGCGGAGGCAAAAAUGGAAACGAAAAAAUAUAGGCGACGUAGAUCUGGGUUGUAAUUACCUGUUGCUGAAAAUAUCUCACCAACGCCGAAGAGCAUAACCCGACGACUUUUGUGAUGAAUAAACUUAGAGAGAAAUUUC
rnacentral:lncRNA from 1 species